UACGAAGGGGGCUAGCGUUGUUCGGAAUCACUGGGCGUAAAGCGCACGUAGGCGGAUCUUUAAGUCAGGGGUGAAAUCCCGGGGCUCAACCUCGGAACUGCCUUUGAUACUGGGGAUCUCGAGUCCGGGAGAGGUGAGUGGAAUUGCGAGUGUAGAGGUGAAAUUCGUAGAUAUUCGCAAGAACACCAGUGGCGAAGGCGGCUCACUGGCCCGGUACUGACGCUGAGGUGCGAAAGCGUGGGGAGCAAACAGGG
rnacentral:rRNA from 1 species